AGACCCGAAACCCGGUGAUCUAGCCAUGGGCAGGUUGAAGGUUGGGUAACACUAACUGGAGGACCGAACCGACUAAUGUUGAAAAAUUAGCGGAUGACUUGUGGCUGGGGGUGAAAGGCCAAUCAAACCGGGAGAUAGCUGGUUCUCCCCGAAAGCUAUUUAGGUAGCGCCUCGUGAAUUCAUCUCCGGGGGUAGAGCACUGUUUCGGCAAGGGGGUCAUCCCGACUUACCAACCCGAUGCAAACUGCGAAUACCGGAGAAUGUUAUCACGGGAGACACACGGCGGGUGCUAACGUCCGUCGUGAAGAGGGAAACAACCCAGACCGCCAGCUAAGGUCCCAAAGUCAUGGUUAAGUGGGAAACGAUGUGGGAAGGCCCAGACAGCCAGGAUGUUGGCUUAGAAGCAGCCAUCAUUUAAAGAAAGCGUAAUAGCUCACUGGUCGAGUCGGCCUGCGCGGAAGAUGUAACGGGGCUAAACCAUGCACCGAAGCUGCGGCAGCGACACUGUGUGUUGUUGGGUAGGGGAGCGUUCUGUAAGCCUGUGAAGG
rnacentral:rRNA from 2 species